rnacentral:rRNA from 1 species
GACGAACGCUGGCGGCGUGCUUAACACAUGCAAGUCGAACGAUGAACCCGGAGCUUGCUCCGGUGGAUUAGUGGCGAACGGGUGAGUAACACGUGAGUAACCUGCCCUUGACCCUGGGAUAACUGCGGGAAACUGUAGCUAAUACCGGAUACGACCCUCGGCGGCAUCGCCAGGGGGUGGAAAGAAUUUCGGUCAAGGAUGGACUCGCGGCCUAGCAGCUAGUUGGUGAGGUAACGGCGCACCAAGGCGACGACGGGGAGCCGGCCUGGGAGGGGGACCGGCCACACUGGGACUGGGACACGGCCCAGCCGCCUACGGGAGGCAGCAGUGGGGAAUAUUGCACAAUGGGCGCAAGCCUGAUGCAGCAACGCCGCGUGAGGGAUGACGGCCUUCGGGUUGUAAACCUCUUUUAGUAGGGAAGAAGCGAAAGUGACGGUACCUGCAGAAAAAGCACCGGCUAACUACGUGCCAGCCGCCGCAGUAA